rnacentral:rRNA from 1 species
AUGGCGUCGACGACGGCCUACUCGCGGCCGUCCAAGCUGCCAGGCGCGGGCCCGGGGGAGCGGAGGCCGGCGCCGCCGCGGCUCAUCCGGGCCUUCUUCGCCUCCGGCGCCAAGAUCGAGCCCAGGAAGCUCGCCGCCGGCCUGCUCGCCGGCUGCUGCCUCGCGCUCCUCACCUACGUCUCCCUCGCCAAGCUCUACGCCGUCUACUCCCCCGUCUUCGCCACCACCUCGGCCCUGCUCCAGAACGCCCCGCCGUCGUCCUCGUCGGCGCCGGGGGCGGUGGCCGCCCCGCGCCCGCCCGAAGAACUCGCAUUUACUGGCGGCAACAACGGCGGCGGCGUGGAUCGUGUAGAUUUGACGAAGAAGGGCCCGGCGACGGCCGGCUCUCGACAGCCCGGGGUGCCGGACGCGGUCUCCAGAAAGGAACACGCCGAGAAAGCGCCGGCGCCGGCGAACACCUCGGCACCAAUGCCAUCUCAGGGAGAAAGGAAGAGCAACAGCAGCAGCAAUGCCGCCGCCGGUCCGAUGAGCUGCGACGAAAAUGGCGUGGACGAGGGGUUCCCCUAUGCGCGGCCGGCGGUCUGCGAGCUGUCUGGCGACAUCCGCGUCAGCCCCAGCCAGAAGACAAUGUACCUCGUCAACCCGUCCGGCGGCGGCGGCUUCGACGAGAAGGGCGAGAAGCGGCUCCGGCCCUACGCCCGGAACGACGACUUCCUCCUGCCCGCCGUGGUGGAGGUGACUGUCAAGUCUGUCGCCUCCCAUGAGGCCGCGCCACAGUGCACGAAGCAGCAUCGCGUGCCCGCGGUGGUGUUCUCCGUCGCCGGGUACACGGACAACUUCUUCCACGACAACACGGACGUGCUGAUCCCCUUGUUCCUCACCACGGCGCACCUGAAAGGCGAGGUGCAGCUGCUGAUCACCAACUACAAGCCGUGGUGGGUGCAAAAGUACACGCCGGUGCUACGCAGGCUCUCCAGCUAUGACGUGAUCAACUUCGACGAUGACGCCGACGUGCACUGCUUCUCCCGCGGGUACCUCGGCCUGUACCGCGACCGCGACCUCAUCAUCGCCCCUCACCCGACCCGCAACCCGCGCAACUACACCAUGCUGGACUACACUCGCUUCCUCCGAGCCGCGUACGGGCUCCGCCGCGACCAGCCGGCGGUGCUCGGCGCGGAGCCCGGGAUGCAGCCCCGGAUGCUGAUCAUCUCGCGCGGCGGCACGCGCAAGCUGCUGAACCAGGACGAGGUGGCCGCCGCCGCCUCGGAGCUCGGGUUCAACGUGACCGUGGCCGAGGCCGGCGACGACGUGCCGGCGUUCGCGGCCCUGGUGAACUCCGCCGACGUGCUUCUGGCCGUGCACGGCGCCGGGCUGACCAACCAGAUCUUCCUGCCGACGAACGGGGUGGUGCUGCAGAUCGUGCCGUGGGGGAACAUGGACUGGAUGGCGACCAACUUCUACGGGCAGCCGGCGCGGGACAUGCAGCUCCGGUACGUGGAGUACUACAUCGACGAGGAGGAGACGAGCCUCAAGGACAAGUACCCAAGGGAUCACAUGGUGUUCAAGGACCCCAAGGCCCUCCACAAGCAGGGGUGGCAGGCGCUCGCCGACACCAUUAUGAAGCAGGACGUCAAGGUGAACAUCACCAGGUUCCAGCCUUUCUUGCUCCAGGCCAUGGACGAGCUACAGGAGUAG